rnacentral:rRNA from 1 species
GAGGCUGCAGUCGAGAAUCUUUCGCAAUGGGCGCAAGCCUGACGAAGCGACGCCGUGUGGAUGAUGACAGCUUUCGGGUUGUAAAGUCCUUUCGCUUGGGAGCAAGAGAAAUUGGCUAAUAACUAAUAAUUUGAGAG